GACGAACGCUGGCGGCGUGCUUAACACAUGCAAGUCGAACGGAAAGGCCCUGCUUUUGUGGGGUGCUCGAGUGGCGAACGGGUGAGUAACACGUGAGUAACCUGCCCUUGACUUUGGGAUAACUUCAGGAAACUGGGGCUAAUACCGGAUAGGAGCUCCUGCUGCAUGGUGGGGGUUGGAAAGUUUCGGCGGUUGGGGAUGGACUCGCGGCUUAUCAGCUUGUUGGUGGGGUAGUGGCUUACCAAGGCUUUGACGGGUAGCCGGCCUGAGAGGGUGACCGGCCACAUUGGGACUGAGAUACGGCCCGGACUCCUACGGGAGGCAGCAGUGGGGAAUAUUGCACGAUGGGCGGAAGCCUGAUGCAGCAACGCCGCGUGCGGGAUGACGGCCUUCGGGUUGUAAACCGCUUUCGCCUGUGACGAAGCGUGAGUGACGGUAAUGGGUAAAGAAGCACCGGCUAACUACGUG
rnacentral:rRNA from 1 species